rnacentral:tRNA from 1 species
GGAGAGGUGGCAGAGUGGUCUAAUGUAACGGUUUGCUAAACCGUCAGACCGGGUAACCGGUCUCGAGGGUUCGAAUCCCUCCCUCUCCG